CAUGUACUCCCUCCGUCCGAAAAAGCUUGUCCCUCAAAUGGAUGUAUCUAGCACUAACUUGGUGCUAGAUACAUCCAUUUGAGGGACAAGCUUUUUAGGAUGGAGGGAGUAUGAG
rnacentral:pre_miRNA from 1 species